GGGGGUUAGCGUUGUUCGGAAUUACUGGGCGUAAAGCGCGCGUAGGCGGGCUAGUAAGUUAGAGGUGAAAUCCCGGGGCUCAACCCCGGAACUGCCUUUAAUACUGCUAGUCUUGAGUUCGAGAGAGGUGAGUGGAAUUCCGAGUGUAGAGGUGAAAUUCGUAGAUAUUCGGAGGAACACCAGUGGCGAAGGCGGCUCACUGGCUCGAUACUGACGCUGAGGUACGAAAGUGUGGGGAGCAAACAGGAUUAGAUACCCUGGUAGUCCACACCGUAAACGAUGAAUGCCAGUCGUCGGCAAGCAUGCUUGUUGGUGACGCAGCUAACGCAUUAAGCUCUCCGCCUGGGGAGUACGGUCGCAAGAUUAAAACUCAAAGGAAUUGACGGGGGCCCGCACAAGCGGUGGAGCAUGUGGUUUAAUUCAACGCAACGCGCAGAACCUUACCAGGGCUUGACAUCCUGCGAACCUCUGGGAAACCGGAGGGUGCCUUCGGGAACGCAGUGACAGGUGGUGCAUGGCU
rnacentral:rRNA from 1 species